UAAGUGCUGCAAUGCUU
rnacentral:miRNA from 1 species